rnacentral:misc_RNA from 1 species
CCGCCAAACCCUAGCGUCCCCUUCUUCCCGCUAGGGUUUAAGAUGCAAAACAUUCUCAAAGAAAACAGCCGUAUAUAUAUGUUCUUUACGUAUCCUUUUUGCAGCGAUGAAAUUUAAUUUUGCUCUCUGCAACCUAUAUUCUAACCCCCAAAGCUCCAAUCUUUCUUUUCUCAGACAUGGUCGAGUGUAUACCUGAACCCACCAUUGUUGAAGAAGACCGCCACAAUCAAGCUUCAAAGUCUAAAAACUUGAAAGACCCACUUGAAGAUUCAAAAUUGACUGAUUUAUCGUUUGCUGAUUCGUUUCUCGAUUUUGACUCCAUAAAGGAGUUUUUUGAAGAGAGCUCAGUCUCAGAUACAGUUAGUUUAGAUAAGAGUGAUUUCGUGAAUAUUGACAAGGGCAUGGAGAUUGGUAAUAAUGGCUUGUCUAUUGAACCACAGUCCAAUCCAAGUUUUGAAGAGCUGAGGCAAAUUGUCAAUUGCUCUAAGCCAAUUGUAGAUAGUUUAGAUAAGAGUGAUUUCGGGAAGAUUGACAAGGGUAUGGAGAUGGGUGAUAAAGGGUUGUCUAUUGAACCACAGUCGAACCCAAGUUUUGAAGAGUUGAGGCAAAUUGUCAAUGGCUCGAAGGCAAUUGUAGAUGGCUCUGGCUGUGUUGAAGAGGAGAUGGGCAGGGUUAGUUUGGUUGGUGUGUCAAGUCCCAUUUGUAGUGAUGAGAAAACAGUGGGUAAUGAAACAGAGAUGGGAAAGGUAAGUUUAGUUGCCGGGUCGAGCUCUGUGUUUCCUGAUGGGAGUGUUGUCAACAGUGGCGUAGCAAGUGAUGAGAUGGAUAUUGGCAAUGUUAAUUUGCCCACUGGGUUGAGCACAGAUGCUGGUACUGGAAGCCAUGUGAAUAAUGUGGUAAACAGUGACAAGGAUGAUAGGGGAAGUGAUUCUGAAUCUGCUAGUGAAAGCAGUUCAUGCUCUGAUAGCAGUAGCGAUGGCGAUGAGGAAGAGGAGGGAAAGAUGAGCGAUGAGGAAGAGAAUGAGGAGGAAGAAGUGGAGGGUGAGAUUGAAGAAGGUGAGAUAAGGAAUGUUAAUGGAGAGGAGAUGGUUGGUAAGAAUGAUGAUUAUGAAGAGGAAGAGGACGAUGGAAACAAGAUGGUUGAAUGGAGCGAGACUGAAUUUGAUGAUAUUGAUGAGGAAGAGGAAGGGGAUGCCGUUGUUUUGAGAGGACCUAUUAGGUCAAAGAAUGAGCUUACGGUUCUCCCUCCUAUUCCAUCAGUGGAUGCCACAUUGCAACCGCAUCAUCAGAUGCAGCCCGUUGGAGCUGUUUUGUCGAUUAUAAGUGCCCAAGUCAUUGUGGAAGGGGUGGAGAAGCACAACCCUCUUAAUGAGGGUUCAAUCCUUUGGAUAACUGAAAAUAGAUCUCCAUUAGGGAUUGUAGAUGAGAUAUUUGGUCCAGUUCAGUACCCCUACUACAUGGUGAGAUACAAUUCUGAAAGUGAAGUCCCUGCUGGAAUCUGUCAAGGAACUUUGAUUUCUUUUGUUUCCGAGUUUGCCAAUCAUAUUCUCGGCGAUAAGAAUCUUUACAAGAAAGGUUAUGAUGCGUCUGGUGAGAAUGAUGAAGAGUUGUCAGAUGAUGCAGAGUUCUCAGAUGAUGAAAAGGAGGCAGAGUACAGGAGAAUGCAAAAAAUGUCAAAGAGGGGCAUGAAUUACCAGACAUUUGGAAACAAGAAAACCAAUAGAAAGAAGGUUAAUCAUAGGAAUAGCAAUUGGAGGAAUAAUACACCUUCAGGGCAGCAAACAUUGAUGGGUGUGGGUCAGUCAAUACCAAAUCAGAACCAGCAUAAUAAAUCUUCAAUAGGAGCAUCAAUGAAUAAGUGUUCAUCUUCUACCAUAGGACAUGAUUUUCAUAGUGGAAGUGGCUUUUUCCCACCAUUUUCAUCAAUGGCACCAACCAAGGGUGUUUUCCCAUCUACAGAUGGAGUCUGGGUAAAUGGAUUGCCUUGUUCUCAGUCACAGAAUGCAGUCAUUCCUGGUGGAAUUACAGCUAAUAAUAUAUCGUGGCCUGGACAGAAUCAACUACUGCAUCCCUGUCAGAUGCCAUUUCAGCAACAGUUCAAUCCUAGUCAAGGGUCACUUCCUAGUGGUGUAGUACCAGGUGGACAGAUGAUUAUUUAUGCUGGACCUUCACCUUGGCCUGGUGUUAUUGGUGAAAAUUGCUUUAAUGGAGCAGCAUUUGGGAUGGGCUUCCAGGUUCAACCUGCUCACCCAACUAUGAGUACCAUGAAUGUGGAAGGCCAAGGAAUGAUGUCCAGUGGACUGCACAUUGAACCACCUGGUGUUAUUCCCGAAAACGUUCAGCGAUUUAAUUUGGGUGCCUCUCCAAGCCGAGGAAGGAAACCAUAUCGUCAUCGAGGUCGUGGUCGUUUUGCAGGUGGGAGAGGUUGGCAGUCCUCAAAAUGAAGUUCAUUAGCUUUAUCAUACCACUGUGAAUGCAACUUUGGAUGGGACCAGUAGAUUUUUGGAAUUUGCCUAGUAUUUGUGCGUUAUUUUGCUUUGGUAAUUUGCAUGUUCUCAGUUCCAACUGCUUGAGGUGGUGAAAU